GACGAACGCUGGCGGCGUGGAUUAGGCAUGCAAGUCGAACGGUAUCAUCCUUUCGGGGGUGAGAGAGUGGCGAACUGGUGAGUAACACGUAGGUUAUCUACCCUCAAGACGGGGACAACCCAGGGAAACUUGGGCUAAUACCGGAUGUGAGCAACUUUUAGUUGUUUGAAAGGUGGCGUAAGCUGUCGCUUGGGGAUGAGCCUGCGUCCUAUUAGUUAGUUGGUGAGGUAACGGCUCACCUAGGCAAUGAUAGGUAGGCGGCCUUAACGGGUGGUCGCCCACACUGGGAUUGAGAUACGGCCCAGACUCCUACGGGAGGCAGCAGUCGAGAAUAGUCUACAAUGGUCGGAAGACUGAUAGUGCGACGCCGCGUGAACGAUGAAUCCCUUCGGGGGUGUAAAGUUCUUUUAUAUGUGAGCAGUGCUUCUUAUAUUAACAGUAUGGGGAGAGAGAUAUUAGCAUAUGAAUAAGCAACGGCUAACUCCGUGCCCAGCAGCCGCGGU
rnacentral:rRNA from 1 species